rnacentral:tRNA from 1 species
AUCCAUCUUAGCAAACUCUAAUGCAAAAGAUUUAGACUCUUUAAAACUCA